rnacentral:rRNA from 1 species
UACGUAGGUGGCAAGCGUUGUCCGGAAUUAUUGGGCGUAAAGCGCGCGCAGGCGGUUCAUUAAGUCUGAUGUGAAAGCCCACGGCUCAACCGUGGAGGGUCAUUGGAAACUGGAGAACUUGAGUACAGAAGAGGAAAGCGGAAUUCCACGUGUAGCGGUGAAAUGCGUAGAGAUGUGGAGGAACACCAGUGGCGAAGGCGGCUUUCUGGUCUGUAACUGACGCUGAGGCGCGAAAGCGUGGGGAGCAAACAGG